rnacentral:rRNA from 1 species
AGCGAACGCUGGCGGCAGGCCUAACACAUGCAAGUCGAACGAACUCUUCGGAGUUAGUGGCGGACGGGUGAGUAACACGUGGGUACGUGCCUUUAGGUUCGGAAUAACUCAGGGAAACUUGUGCUAAUACCGAAUGUGCCCUUCGGGGGAAAGAUUUAUCGCCUUUAGAGCGGCCCGCGUCUGAUUAGCUUGUUGGUGGGGUAAUGGCCCACCAAGGCGACGAUCAGUAGCUGGUCUGAGAGGAUGACCAGCCACAUUGGGACUGAGACACGGCCCAAACUCCUACGGGAGGCAGCAGUGGGGAAUCUUGCGCAAUGGGCGAAAGCCUGACGCAGCCAUGCCGCGUGGAUGAUGAAGGUCUUAGGAUUGUAAAGUCCUUUCACCGGUGAAGAUAAUGACUGUAGCCGGAGAAGAAGCCCCGGCUAACUUCGUGCCAGCAGCCGCCGCAGUAA